UACGGAGGGAGCUAGCGUUGUUCGGAAUUACUGGGCGUAAAGCGCACGUAGGCGGCCAUUCAAGUCAGAGGUGAAAGCCCGGGGCUCAACCCCGGAACUGCCUUUGAAACUAGAUGGCUUGAAUCUUGGAGAGGCGAGUGGAAUUCCGAGUGUAGAGGUGAAAUUCGUAGAUAUUCGGAAGAACACCAGUGGCGAAGGCGACUCGCUGGACAAGUAUUGACGCUGAGGUGCGAAAGCGUGGGGAGCAAACAGGAUUAGAUACUCUGGUAGUCCACGCCGUAAACGAUGAUAACUAGCUGUCAGGGCACAUGGUGUUUUGGUGGCGCAGCUAACGCAUUAAGUUAUCCGCCUGGGGAGUACGGUCGCAAGAUUAAAACUC
rnacentral:rRNA from 1 species